AUUGAACGCUAGGCGGCAUGCUUUACACAUGCAAGUCGAACGGGGCUUGGGGGGCUUGCUCCCAAAGUUAGUGGCGAACGGGUGAGUAAUACAUCGGAACGUACCGUGUAGUGGGGGGAUAAACGUAGCGAAAGUUACGCUAAUACCGCAUACGAUCUACGGAUGAAAGCAGGGGACCUUUCGGGGACCCUUUGUGCUAUACGAGCGGCCGAUGUCUGAUUAGCUAGUUGGUGAGGUAAAGGCUCACCAAGGCGACGAUCAGUAGCGGGGUCUGAGAGGAUGAUCCGCCACACUGGGGACUGAGACACGGGCCCCAGACUCCUACGGGAGGCAGCAGUGGGGGAAUUUUGGACAAUGGGCGAAAGCCUGAUCCAGCCAUGCCGCGUGUCUGAGAAGGCCUGGUGUAAGG
rnacentral:rRNA from 1 species